AGCUUCUACUGGUGGGACAAAAGUUGUUGUGGCCACAAAGAGCUUUUCCUUCCAUCUGACCUGAGCUUUAUGUUCUGUGUUGACAGUGUAUGAAAGCAUCAGAGAGACUACAUAAUUCUCAUGGAGACUGCAAAGAGGAGGAUGCUUGCUUUGUUUAUUCAUCUUUGGAGAUACCCUCUGCUCGGCACAUUUCUGCUUCAUGGGGAUGAAGGAAAAAGUUCUUGUUUAAAAGAUUUUGUCGGCGUUGGGAACAGAAGCAACUGA
rnacentral:lncRNA from 1 species